rnacentral:rRNA from 1 species
UCUGGUGUCAAUGUCGAGGGUGUCACACCUCUUCCCAUUCCGAACAGAGCAGUUAAGCCCCUCAGAGCCGAUGGUACUACGCGGGAGACUGCGUGGGAGAGUAGGACGACGCCAGAU